rnacentral:rRNA from 1 species
UGGGGAAUAUUGCACAAUGGGCGCAAGCCUGAUGCAGCGACGCCGCGUGAGGGAUGGAGGCCUUCGGGUUGUAAACCUCUUUCGCCAGUGAAGCAGGCCAUCUUCUUUGUGGGGUGGUUGACGGUAGCUGGAUAAGAAGCGCCGGCUAACUACGUGCCAGCAGCCGCGGUAAUACGUAGGGCGCGAGCGUUGUCCGGAAUUAUUGGGCGUAAAGAGCUCGUAGGCGGCUGGUCGCGUCUGUCGUGAAAUCCCCUGGCUUAACUGGGGGCUUGCGGUGGGUACGGGCCGGCUUGAGUGCGGUAGGGGAGACUGGAAGUCCUGGUGUAGCGGUGGAAUGCGCAGAUAUCAGGAGGAACACCGGUGGCGAAGGCGGGUCUCUGGGCCGUUACUGACGCUGAGGAGCGAAAGCGUGGGGAGCGAACAGG